AUGGCACACAAACUAAAGAUCAGAAACUGCAUUCUAAUGUGCACAUAUCUGCUGGCGAUGCUGUCUGGAUGGGAUGCUCUCUCGUGCUGCAGAAGAGAUUUCACCAACGGAUCGUCCUCCUGUGAGCUGAGUGAUCCCCCAGACCAGAGCUGUGACACGCACUGGAGCGCUGACGGUAUAGCGGUGGUUGACGAGUCUGGAGGGGUGGAUGAGAGCAGAGUUCAUCAUGCAGGAUCUCAGAGCAUCGUUCUGAGAGGAAAACACACUGAUGUGAUCUUCUGGAUGGACUGUGCUCCACCGAAGAAUUCUGUGCGGCUGUAUUGUAACGAUCUCUGCCGAUCUUCUCCAGAACAGCCACAUAACGCUGCAAACAGGAGCACGCCUGAUGGCAUCUUCAUCUUCCUGCCCAUCGUCAUCAUCUUCAUCUUCAUCUGUGUCACCUAGAUUUAUUGGGAGGAUUCUGUGGGUGUUGUGGUGACUCUGGAUUCUGUGACGUGGAGACCAAACCCAGAGAUGAACCACAAAAACAUAUCUCAUAACUAUAAAAAUAUCUGUCUAUCUAUAUCAUACAUGAAACUAUAAUUUUAGUGAAUAAAGUUAUUAAUUCAUAUUUAUGUUAAAUAUAU
ensembl:lncRNA